UACAGAGGGGGCAAGCGUUGUUCGGAAUUACUGGGCGUAAAGGGCGCGUAGGCGGCCUUCUAAGUCGAACGUGAAAUCCCCGGGCUCAACCCGGGAACUGCGUCCGAUACUGGAAGGCUUGAAUCCGGCAGAGGGAGGUGGAAUUCCACGUGUAGCGGUGAAAUGCGUAGAGAUGUGGAGGAACACCGAUGGCGAAGGCAGCCUCCUGGGCCAAUACUGACGCUCAUGCACGAAAGCGUGGGGAGCAAACAGG
rnacentral:rRNA from 1 species